rnacentral:misc_RNA from 1 species
GCAGGAUUAAACACUACUUGCAAUAUGUGCCUAUUGCAGGCAUGACAGACUGAGAAAGAGAGAAUCUAAACAGUAGAUUAUCAAACUACAUAGUUUAUUAGAACUCCUCUGAAAAGGGCAUAAACAAUUGUAGGCCUGAUAAUUGCAAAUGUAAGCUUUAUUUACAAAGUUAAUAAAUUGAACAAACAAACUAUAGGGUCAGUUGGAGCAGAAAACUGACCAAUUUGGACAGCUAGAUUUUUACAACGUCAAUGUAUUUAUACUACCAUGUCACACCCUGGAAAUAAUCAGUCCAAAGGCCUAUAUACAGUCUCAUCAACUUGAUCCAAAACUUCCCAUGACUUCUACUAUUUAUGUACUUCACAGUUGUCACGAAAACAGUGUGCUCAACAUCUCAUUAGAGUGGAUCCUGUAACAGUAUUAAUUCACAAUAUAUUUGAAACUAAACUUCCCAUCCCACCAAAUCUUGCACAAAUGUUCUAUUUCAUUCUUCUGAUGCACGAAAUAAAAACCUUUCAAGUUGCAUUGGCCAAUCUUCUCCAAGAAUCUGAGGGUUUAGUUCCAUUGCAAGCUGAAAAUCUAACAUGGACACUGCAAUGGACCUGCUGGGUUUUUGAAAAUAUCUCACAGGCCACACCCCAUUCAAACCAGAUAUGGAACAAAUUUGUCCUUGGCUUGUAUGUUUCCCUCCAGAUCUUGAACCAGCUAAACCCAUACAGGGUUUUAUCAAUCUCUUCAAGUAAACAUCGAGGCUGUUAUUUAACAAAUCAGCACAAUCAACUGAAACUUUUAUUCCUUCCAUCUCCAACUUCUGCUCCAACCUCUUUCUUAAAGAAUUGGAAUCAGGUAAUUCACCACUAUUCUGACAGGUCCCCAUAUGAUAAGAAGAUGCCAAGCGAUUACACAGUACUUUUCGUGCCCCUUUACCGUUCAAGGGGAUGCCAAGAGGAGCUCUAACAGGGCUCCUACUAUAAAUGCUGGGGCUUCCAGCAGCCUGAUCAACCUCUUCUCCAUCCUCCACAGAGCCGGGGGGUUUGCUGACCAAAGAAAGCAGCUCAGUGGUACUCUGUUCUUGGUUUUUAGGGAUUGAAUCUUCAAAUGCAAUAGUAUGGCUCUUCCCAUGAGGGCCAAGAGGACUAGGACGAUCCCUGAACUUGCGUUCACUAAGAACUGACCUCCCCUUACGAGGAGAUUGGAGAAAAUCCCUGCAUAGGGAUUGAAGACUACUUUUUUGAUACCCAUUAGGCACUUUGACACUUAAAGCGCCUUUAGCUUUGCUCUCCUUUGGCGGGGGAGUCCUGGAGAAAUGUGCAUUUUUUAUAAUUGAUCUGAGGAGGUGGUUAUGAAGUCGUACAUUUUCCCUCCCUAUUGUACCAAUGCAGAGUCUAUCAAAAUCAGAUUUGCUAAUCUUAAUACUCAGAAACUUUGAGAGGAGAUCAAAGUACUUCUGGGCUUUUAGAUGCCCAAGCUUCUUCUCAAUCUGCAAUUUUAGCUCUAAUGUGCCUAUCCGGGCAAAAUGCCUAGCUGCUGGCAUUUUAGUUUCAAAACUCCUCACUAGCAAUCAUCAAGACAAAAACAAAAUUAUAUGGUUAUGCUAAAAACCAUUGCAUGGAAAAUUACAACAAAAAAUAAUUUCCCAAUUAAAAUCACAAAAGAAGCAAAAAUUCUAGAUUGUAAAAAGAUAUAUACUUAAAACAAGCUUGUCACUUCUAUUAGAACCCCAAGAACCUAAAUUCAUCAGUUUCUAGCAAUUCACUAUUCGCCAAGUAAAGUCAACAGUAGAAGCAAAGACAAGAAGAAUAACUAAAUUCCAGAACAAAAGAAACAAAACCCAUAUCAAAAUUAAUAGAAAAACGCAAAUUUUAACUUCAUUUUACUCAUUACAGCUUCAAUUCAAUUAGUUGUUCACCAAAUCAAAGCUUAAACAUGGAAUACAAAAUACACAAAAAAUUUUCACCACCCAACUUCCACUUCACAUAAACAAACAGAAGAAAACAACAAAACUAGGAAAAAAAUAAAACAAUUUCAAAAAUUCUAAGUUAAAUAGGAGCUCCACACGACACCCUAUUGAUAAAAACCCAGAGACUGAGCAAGGCAAUCCAGACAUUGAAACAAAGAAAGAAAACAAAUGAUGUAAAGAAGAAGAGAAAGGCCAAGUUAAAUUGAAGAAGUACCUAAUUGAAUUUGGUAGAGGCUUCACUGUAUUAUUGAGUGCAAAUUAUGAAUCAGUAGCUCUCUUGUUUUUUUCAACAGGGAGAGUGGAGUGAGAGAGAUUAGGGCUAGUGAAGCAGGAAAAAACGAGGGUCUUUCGAAGCUUCUGUCUAAGCCAUGCGUGGGUUAAUGUGCACGUGCG